UACAGAGGGUGCGAGCGUUACUCGGAAUCACUGGGCUUAAAGCGUGUGUAGGCGGAUGCCUAAGUACCUUGUGAAAUCCCACGGCUCACCCGUGGAACUGCUCGGUAUACUGGGUGUCUUGAGCCACUUAGGGGCUACCGGAACAAAUGGUGGAGCGGUGAAAUGCGUAGAUAUCAUUUGGAACGCCAAUGGUGAAAACAGGUAGCUGGGAGUGUGCUGACGCUGAGACACGAAAGCCAGGGGAGCAAACGGG
rnacentral:rRNA from 1 species